rnacentral:tRNA from 1 species
GCCCCCGUGGCGAAAUGGCAGACGCGCUCGACUCAAAAUCGAGUGCCGCAAGGCGUGAGGGUUCGAGUCCCUCCGGGGGCA